CACCACAGCUCACUUUGCCCUUUAACCUCUCACUGCUCUCUCAUAUUUGAUCCCCCUUGCGUUCUUGCAGCCAAAAUCCGAGAGGCUCGCCAUGAUCCGCCAAAAUUAAAAGGCCGGAGCAUAAAAUGCGGCUCGUGGGUGAAGAACCCCUUUAAGGACAUCUGCUACCUGGUCAACCGCAACCAUGCCAAGACAUGGCAGGAGGCGCGAGACGACUGUGUCCGCCUCGGAGGCAACCUGCUCAGCAUCACUGACAACACGGAGCAGACCUACAUACUAGGUCUGUCCAGCGCUUAU